UGCAUGUCUAAGUACAUGCCGUAUUAAGGCGAAACCGCGAAUGGCUCAUUAAAUCAGUUGUGGUUCCUUGGGUCGUACUUUUCUACUUGGAUAACUGUGGCAAUUCUAGAGCUAAUACAUGCAGCAGAGCUCCGACCCUCGUGGAACGAGCGCUUUUAUUAGACCAAUCAAUCAGCUUCGGCUGAAUUGUGUGGUGACUCUGAAUAACUUUGGGCUGAUCGCACGGGCACGUCCCGGCGACGUAUCUUUCAAGUAUCUGCCUUAUCAACUGUCGAUGGUAGGUCACACGCCUACCAUGGUCGUAACGGGUAACGGGGAAUCAGGGUUCGAUUCCGGAGAGGGAGCCUGAGAAACGGCUACCACAUCCAAGGAAGGCAGCAGGCGCGCAAAUUACCCACUCCCGGCUCGGGGAGGUAGUGACGAAACAUAACAAUGCGGGACUCUUAUGAGACCCCGUAAUUGGAAUGAGUACAAUGUAAAUAGUUUAACGAGGAUCCAUUGGAUGGUAAGUCUGGUGCCAGCAGCAGCGGUAAAACCAGCUCCAAUAGCGUAUAUUACAGUUGUUGCGGUUAAAAAGCUCGUAGUUGGAUCUCAGUUCCGCACGGAAGGUCCAUCACACGGUGGUUACCGACCGGUGCGAACAGCAAAGCCGGUUUCUCUUGAUGAUCUUCACCGGUUGUCUUGGGUGACCGGCAAGUUUACUUUGAAAAAAUUAGAGUGCUCAAAGCAAGCGUGAAGCUUGAAUAAACGUGCAUGGAAUAAUGGAAUAGGACCUCGGUUCUAUUUUGUUGGUCUUCGGAAGGCGAGGUAAUGAUUAAGAGGAACAGACGGGGGCAUUCGUACUGCGACGCUAGAGGUGAAAUUCUUGGACCGUCGCAAGACGAACUACUGCGAAAGCAUUUGCCAAGAAUGUUUCCAUUAAUCAAGAACGAAAGUUAGAUGAUCGAAGGCGAUCAGAUACCGCCCUAGUUCUAACCAUAAACGAUGCCAGCCAGCGAUCCGGCUGUGUUCCUCAAAUGACACGCCGGGCAGCUUCCGGGAAACCAAAGCCUUUGGGUUCCGGGGGAAGUAUGGUUGCAAAGCUUAAACUUAAAGGAAUUGACGGAAGGUCACACAAGGAUUGGAGCCUGCGGCUUAAUUUGACUCAACGCGCGAAAUUUCACUUGGUCCGGACACAGGAAGGAUUGACAGAUUGAGAGCUCUUUCUUGAUUCUGUGGGUGGUGGUGCAUGUCCGUUCUUAGUUGGUGGAGUGAUUUGUCUACUUAAUUGCGAUAACGAACGAGACUCUAGCCUACUAAAUAGAUGAUGCGAUCAUUUACGUCGCACAUUCUUCUUAGAGGGAGCAGCGGAUUUCAGCCGCAUGAGACAGAGAGCAAUAACAGGUCUUGAAUGCCCUUAGAUGUCCGAGGCCGCACGCGCGCUACAUUGAAGGAAUCAACGUGUGUUUCCUGUCCGACAGGAUUGGGUAACCCGGUGAACCUCCUUCGUGCUUGGGAUAGGGGCAUGUAAUUGUCCCCUUGAACGAGGAAUUCCUAGUAGGCGCGAGUCAUUAUCUCGUGCCGAUUACGUCCCUGGCCUUUGUACACAUCGCCCGUCGCCAAUGUCGAUCGAGUAUUUUAGUGAGGUCUUCGGACUGGCUUCCGACUCCACUUCACGGUAGAGCCGGUGUGCCGGAAAGACGAUCAAACUUGAGUACUUAGAGACAUUGAA
rnacentral:rRNA from 1 species